GAUGAACGCUGGCGGCGUGCCUAAUACAUGCAAGUCGAGCGAGCGGACGAGAAGCUUGCUUCUCUGAUGUUAGCGGCGGACGGGUGAGUAACACGUGGAUAACCUACCUAUAAGACUGGGAUAACUUCGGGAAACCGGAGCUAAUGCCGGAUAAUAUUUUGAACCGCAUGGUUCAAAAGUGAAAGACGGUCUUGCUGUCACUUAUAGAUGGAUCCGCGCUGCAUUAGCUAGUUGGUAAGGUAACGGCUUACCAAGGCAACGAUGCAUAGCCGACCUGAGAGGGUGAUCGGCCACACUGGAACUGAGACACGGUCCAGACUCCUACGGGAGGCAGCAGUAGGGAAUCUUCCGCAAUGGGCGAAAGCCUGACGGAGCAACGCCGCGUGAGUGAUGAAGGUCUUCGGAUCGUAAAACUCUGUUAUUAGGGAAGAACAUAUGUGUAAGUAACUGUGCACAUCUUGACGGUACCUAAUCAGAAAGCCACGGCUAACUACGUG
rnacentral:rRNA from 1 species